ensembl:lncRNA
GAUGGCAGUCUGGCAUGCUGUAUUAGCAUUCUCAUAUACCAGUUGUUUAACAAUUCCCCAUCAACCACCAGGCUGUUGACUACCUGCAAAAAAAUGGAGUGAACACAGUUCAGGAAUUGAGUCAUGUGAGAAGUCUGUGGGGUAGUGGACCAAGCCAUCAGAACUGGACCUUUUUCAAGGUGAUUAAUUCAGCUUUCUGAACAGAAGUCCCAGCAACUGGAGUUUUCAGCAGAUGUCUGGUGCCACUUGAUUGAUGAAUCAUAGCAGACCGGAUCUUGCCUCUGGAUCCAGAGGUAUAUAGGAAAAAACUUUUCAUCUUCUGGGCCUGACAGCCAGUCUCCACCCAAGUUGCCAUGGAAACCACAGGAACCUGAGAACUGCUGUGGAGACCACAGGGAACUGUUUACUUCGUGGACUACAGACCAACUUCUGUUAUUUUAAUUAAUACCUGACUCCUAGAUUAUAAUUGAUUCUUCCCAGAUUUCUGACUACAUUGAAGCUAAGCUUGAGAGCUAGAAAACAGACCUAGCUCCUUACCCCAAGGAAGUAUUGCUCUACAUGGCUACUGGUGUCCUGGAACUUACCAUGUGAAUCAAGAUGGCCUCAAACUCAGAGAUGCAUUUGUAUGUCUCCAAAACACACCACUAGGUCCAGG